AAAACAAACGUUGCAAUGAGCGAUGUCUCAAGAAACCGACAAGUACGUUAACCAAGACUCUUAAAUAAAAAGGAAAAAAAAAUCACUUACCACAUCAAACCCUAUCAAAUCCUAAGAAAACAAAAAUCAAAUUCCCCAAACCUUUUAGUCUACCCAUUCAUCUCAUUCGCUCCGAUGCACCGGAAAACCCAUCUGUGGGAGUGGAAAUCCCCUAGACUCCACAAUUCAGUUCUAUCUUCAUGUCCCUACUCCUCCGAUUCACUGAGCUCCUUGAAGAUUCUAUUGAAAACAGAGACCACACCAUCUGGACUCAGAACAAUAACCCCCAUCUUACCUUCGUUGCUCGUUUAAGAUGAUAGCCUCAACUUCUAGAAGGGCUUCCUCCAUCCAAUAUCUCGGGCUUCCACACCGUCGUCCCUAACUCACCAUCUCGUAGGCUACUCUAUUCGCCGCUCUUAGGACAAAACGGGAGAAUCGCAAGCACACCACCCUCAAUGCACACUUGUUAAAACCCAUUUCCUCGGCAAAGGUAACCACCUGAAGGCAUGGAUGCGCUUCUACUGUUAUUGGAUCUUAAAUAUUUUUUAUCGAGUAAGCACAUGCCCCCAUGACCAUGCCUUGGUUGUUUCUUAUAAUUACUCAUGCGAUAGCUCUUUGUAUCUGUUGUUGGUAGGAGGCAUCAAAGUUAACUUCUAUUGUGUCUCUCUUAGGAGGCUUCCAUCUUGUUUCUCUAUAGUCAUUUUGAUGUAUUGAUAUCUCUUCUAAAAUGCGUAACUCUGCUAAAUAUUCUUUGAUGAAACUUACGACCUGAUCUGCCCUUUCUCUCUUUCCUUCAUGGUAGUACAUAUUUCUGUUGUACCAAAUUGCCCAAAAAAUUGUGGCUAUAUGUAUACUCUGUUCAUUAUUGUUCUUUUAGAAAAAAAUAUGCUAACCAAAAUUUCUAUUCUUGACUAAUGUCGACAUGCGAGGUUACCAAUCCAAUCUGCUGUAGAACCUACUUCGUGAAAGCGCAGUCUCAAAAAAUAUGUGCUACCGUUUUGUUGUCUAUCUUGCAAAUUGGGCAAAGGGUCUCCUCCCUUAAUAUUUUAUGUUUUAAAUUACUUAAUGUAGGCAAAAAAUUAUUAAAUACCUUCCAAAGAUAUAUUCUGAUCUUGCUUGGGAUUUUGAGAUUCCAUAGCUUUAUGUAAAAGUUUUUUUAUGGCUAUAUCUUGUAAAUAAUUGUUUCCCUUGUCCCGUUAUGAUUACUUGUAAUACACCACUUGUAACCGCUUUUAACGGAGUAUUCCUCUGUACUGUUGCCUCUCCAAACUAGCUCAUCUAGAAAGGAGUUGUUCAUCAGUGGGAUAGCAAGGGUCUUCUCUGCUUGUUCCUCUGUGAAAAUAUCUUCAAUUAUAUCCUCUUUCCAGCCCUGGAAUCCAUAUGUCAUUCCAAAUAUUCACAAAUCUGUCAUUUCUAAUUCUCCAUUCGAGUCAUUCCUGCAAGAUACAACAUGCUCCUCAAAUACUCCGCCAGGUAAAAGAAGGGUGAGAUCCUAAUCCAGCAUUCAUAAAAUCACUCAUUGGACAGUAUUUAGCUUUCAUUACCUACGCUAACAGACUAGUAGAAUUGGUAAUUAGUUUCCAUCCUUACUUUGCUAAAAGGGCUUUAUUAAAAAUUGAUAACUUUCUAAAACCAA